rnacentral:pre_miRNA from 1 species
GGGAGGUGUGAUAUUGUGCUUCCUGGGAGUUGUGAUACUGUGCUUCCUGGGAGGUGUGAUACCGUGCUUCCU